rnacentral:rRNA from 1 species
AGAGUUUGAUCCUGGCUCAGAACGAACGCUGGAGGCGUGCUUAACACAUGCAAGUCGAACGAGAAAAUUCUGGCUUGCCAGAGUGAGUAAAGUGGCGAACGGGUGAGUAACACGUGGGUAAUCUGCCUUCAAGUCACGGAUAACACUGCGAAAGCGGUGCUAAUACAUGAUAUGCUCACGGCAUCUACUGAAACUGUGAGAAAAGAUGGCCUCUUUUAAAUGCUAUUGCUUGGAGAUGAGCCCGCGUACCAUUAGCUAGUUGGUAGGAUAACGGCCUACCAAGGCUACGAUGGUUAGCUGGCCUGAGAGGGCGGUCAGCCACACUGGAACUGAGAUACGGUCCAGACUCCUACGGGAGGCAGCAGUGGGGAAUAUUGCGCAAUGGGGGAAACCCUGACGCAGCGACGCCGUGUGAGUGAUGAAGGCCUUCGGGUCGUAAAGCUCUGUCAGAUGGGAAGAAUAAGGUCAGUUAAAAUAUUUCUGUCCGAUGACGGUACCAUCAGAGGAAGCACCGGCUAACUCCGUGCCAGCAGCCGCGGUAAUACGGAGGGUGCUAGCGUUGUUCGGAAUUACUGGGCGUAAAGCGCGUGUAGGCGGAUGUGUAGGUCAGAUGUGAAAUCCCUUGGCUCAACUGAGGAAGUGCAUCUGAAACCACAUAUCUUGAGUACGAGAGAGGAGGGUGGAAUUCCCAGUGUAGAGGUGAAAUUCAUAGAUAUUGGGAAGAACACCUGUGGCGAAGGCGGCUCUCUGGCUCGAUACUGACGCUGAGACGCGAAAGCGUGGGUAGCAAACAGGAUUAGAUACCCUGGUAGUCCACGCCGUAAACGAUGUGCACUAGGUGUUGGAAGUAAUUAAACUUUCAGUGCCGCAGCUAACGCAUUAAGUGCACCGCCUGGGGAUUACGGUCGCAAGGCUAAAACUCAAAGGAAUUGACGG